rnacentral:rRNA from 1 species
GACGAACGCUGGCGGCGUGCCUAAUACAUGCAAGUAGAGCGCACAGUUUAUACCGUAGCUUGCUACACCAUAGACUGUGAGUUGCGAACGGGUGAGUAACGCGUAGGUAACCUGCCUGGUAGCGGGGGAUAACUAUUGGAAACGAUAGCUAAUACCGCAUAAUAUUAAUUAUUGCAUGAUAAUUAAUUGAAAGGUGCAAUUGCACCACUACCAGAUGGACCUGCGUUGUAUUAGCUAGUAGGUGAGGUAACGGCUCACCUAGGCGACGAUACAUAGCCGACCUGAGAGGGUGAUCGGCCACACUGGGACUGAGACACGGCCCAGACUCCUACGGGAGGCAGCAGUAGGGAAUCUUCGGCAAUGGACGAAAGUCUGACCGAGCAACGCCGCGUGAGUGAAGAAGGUUUUCGGAUCGUAAAGCUCUGUUGUAAGAGAAGAACGGGUGUGAGAGUGGAAAGUUCACACUGUGACGGUAUCUUACCAGAAAGAGACGGCUAACUACGUG